CCAGUUCAACAAUAAUGGUUCCAAGAGAGCCACUGAGAUCACUGGCCCAUCCCCUUCAUUUCCUCAGGGAUACACUGCUGAUGGAACUGGAGCUGCCUUGGGCAGUGCUGCGCCCUCUGGGGAAUCUGCUUGGGGCUCUCAGUGUGAAAGGAGCUUUGGUGGGAUCCUCCCUGAGAGGGGAACAGAGGGGAAUCCUCUCUGGAAGUGCUGGUGGAGAUCCCUCCCAGCAGCAGGGAAAGGUUUGCUGGUGCUGGUGGAAGUGCAGCUCCGUGUUGUACAGCAUCUCACACAGGACAACCAUCCCUCACUGCCCAGGAAACCUUUGCAUGAACCCCUGGAAUUCCAAGUGCAAAUUUGAUGGUGAGGAAGAGGAUGGACUCAUCCUUCAGCUCCUCACAGGACACCACCAUGCAGCACAGGACCCAGCACGCUCCUACCAGGGACUCCACUGGAGCCUUCUCAACCAUAGGCAGUGAUUCCCUAAGUGCACCGAGCAUUUUAAAAUUCUGCCAGUAUUUUAAUUGCAGAAAGUUUCCUUUCCAGUCCCAUUUAUUGGGUCAAAUCUUUGCUCCAUCAAGUGCCCGUGUCAGCUGCUAAAGAACUGCAUACAGCCCAUUAAAAGAGCAUUUAAUCCUC